rnacentral:rRNA from 1 species
GAUGAACGCUGGCGGUGUGCCUAAUACAUGCAAGUAGAACGCUGAAGGAAGGAGCUUGCUCUUUCCGGAUGAGUUGCGAACGGGUGAGUAACGCGUAGGUAACCUGCCUGGUAGCGGGGGAUAACUAUUGGAAACGAUAGCUAAUACCGCAUAACAGUAGAUAUCGCAUGAUAGCUGCUUGAAAGGUGCAAUUGCACCACUACCAGAUGGACCUGCGUUGUAUUAGCUAGUUGGUGAGGUAACGGCUCACCAAGGCAACGAUACAUAGCCGACCUGAGAGGGUGAUCGGCCACACUGGGACUGAGACACGGCCCAGACUCCUACGGGAGGCAGCAGUAGGGAAUCUUCGGCAAUGGACGGAAGUCUGACCGAGCAACGCCGCGUGAGUGAAGAAGGUUUUCGGAUCGUAAAGCUCUGUUGUAAGAGAAGAACGAGUGUGAGAGUGGAAAGUUCACACUG